UGACUGUGUUGACGUCAGGGCUUAAGGUCUAAGUCACAGCUAGGCUUAGGCAAGGAAAACCUUUCUGAGUGUUCUGCAUUCAAGAACCAGGCUUUUUGAUUCUGGAGGGACACGCCAGCAACAAGCUCAGCCAUCAUUGUAUCGGUCUGGCCCUUGCAGGUGUGUACGUGUGCCUGUAUGUGGGUGACGUGUGAGGCGAUUCUCAUACUCAGGAAAAAGCAAAGAUACAGCACUGAAAUGAUAAACAGGAAAAAUACGGCGAAUCUGAAUAUAAAAGGAAAAACAACCCCCAGGGCAGCCCUGGGCAGCAGAAAGUACAGGAGAUCCAUCUGGGAAGACGAGAGUUCGAGCCCUGCCCAGCCACCCCCCUGCCCUCUGCAUAGGCACAGCAGUGGGUACCAAGGUGGCAUCAUCCUGCCGUCCUUCCAGGGUCACGUGAGGAUCAGAACACACGUGCCAGCGACCAACACCAUCCCACCUGCUGGGCCGUGGGCAAGGAGGGAUACCGGAAAAGAUUUACAGACAAAAGCCAACACUGCAGCCUGCACAUAAUCUUCGAUUGGAUUAAAUCCUCUUAUCUAAUAAAGCAGAGCUGGGCUCUCAUCUUUUUUCUCUUUCUGAGCCUUCCUCUUACUCAGGACCGCCUGACACAAUGGUCGGGAUCUGACAAGGCAGAGCUGAGCGCUAGCUCGCGUCCCCGGGUGAUGAUGGAGGAUGUUGCAGGAUGCUGCAACUGUACCGCAUUUUCAAACAUACUACGUUUCUUAACCGUGGUGCAAAAUGGAGAAAUUCUGAGUCUACUCCUGAGCUUUUGUUUUUGGAUCAUCUGUUUGCCAGCCAGGGCUGUGCCCUGUGGUCUAAAUGAAAUGACUUUGAUAGAGAAGAAAACAAUAACACCUUUCUCUGGACACAGUGCUCCUGCUUGGCAAGAGCCAAGGGCUGCCGGAACAUCUAGGGUCUAGUCCCGUGUGUUUUUCAGGAUGGAGGAAAGUAGUCUUUAGAAAAUACAUAACGGAGCCAAUGGUGCUCUAUUACAUGCUUAAGGUGAGGCCUGCAAGGGGAAGGUAGAGUGAAAGCCUUCCCAAGUGGUCCGACUGGCUCAUGGGAGCACAUAGGAAGGGGAGCAUCUAGGAGGGCAGAGGCACCAGGUGCCACCUGUGAGGGACGGUGAGGGAAACACAGACGAUGUGAGUGACAAAGAGCAGCCGGGUACCAGGGGCUGGGAACUGCUCUGGUCCCGUCAAUUCAUCUCAAGUGAUCAUUUUAUGGGCAUUGUUAGUGUCUCAUGAAACAGGCCAUCUCCAGUGAGAACAAGCUCCCUGUCUCCGGGACGAAUGAAACCCUGGAUGGAAAGUUUUCGAAGAUAUCCAAAGAUCAGCCAGGGGAAUGAACUGAGGGACCGUCAAUAUCCCUUGUAAAUCUGAAGUUCGAUGAUGCUGUGUUUAAAUGUUCUGUCUGGAUUUGCUCUGUAAUGGCGAGCCGGUGACCUCUGUCUGGAAUGUUACUGCUUGGGCCCCACCAGGGACAAGGAGCCUGGAGAGAGCUGCUGCUUCUGCCCUCCACUCCCCUGGAUUCUGGCAGCACUGAGAGUCUGUUCGUGGACACCAGCCAGGCCUGGAUCAGGAAACUCAUCUCUGCAACUGUGUUUGACUUCUCUCUUCCAACUGUCAGUACGUAACAUGUGCCUGCCACAGGUCCCCACGCGGCAGUCCUUCCGGGACAGCAAAAUUCUGUUGACGUAUUUAAGCAACCAUUACCUUUGGGGAGUCAUCUGGCCAGUCAUGAACAAACGAGCAGCUGUGACUGGAGAACCGUGACAUGGUGCUUUGUCAGUGGAAAAGUUCAAGUGAUGUGUCUGGCUGGGCAGCCAUCCGAGUGAGGGAGAGUUUAUUUCCCUGGCACAAUCCCUCAGGCUUCAAACACAGUCUCGUUAGAUGAGCUGACAUUUUGAUAGGACCAACCGCACAGAUCCACCUUCAUCCAUGUCCUGUCUUCCUUUCGUCUCCAAGACAGCUCUGAGACACAGGGACCGCCAUCUUUGUUUUAUAGAUGGGGAAACUGAGGCUCAGUGGGCAAACAUGCUUAACAAAGACCAUAGUCACCGGCUGUGGGCAGAUCAAUCCCUGCCUGACCUUCGAUGCCAAACCGUGUGGUCUGCUCUCAGUACCAGCACCUUCCCUGACUCGGUGGCUGCUCCCCGUGUUGUGUUUAAGCUAAUGAUGUGAGUGAUGUCAUGAUUCACUACUUCAUUCAUCCCAAUGUCUAGGUGCUGUUGACGUUUACAAAUCUUUUGCAUCACGGGAAUUGCUACAUUGAUAAACGUUUUCUGUUUCGUCCCAAAUUACAGAUACAGCAAAGGACAGGCGUCCCCUGAGAAAUGGCCCUCUUCGGUGCGAUAGUCUCCACAGGAUUGUAUUGUUCUCA
ensembl:lincRNA